rnacentral:rRNA from 1 species
GYUUACGGCCACACCACCCUGAACACGCCCGAUCUCGUCUGAUCUCGGAAGCUAAGCAGGGUCGGGCCUGGUCAGUACUUGGAUGGGAGACCGCCUGGGAAUACCAGGUGCUGUAAGAU